rnacentral:lncRNA from 1 species
AUCAUUUCCCUUCCACCUUCCUCCUCGCCGCUUCCUCUCCCUCCACCGCGCAGCUCCAGCCGCCUUGCCGCCGCCGCAUCCCCUUCCAAGUUCAGGCUGUGGGUGGAACCUGUUGCUUUAGCUCACGUUUCCCUUCCCCUCCGGGCUGCACGCUGAGGAUGACCUCAGCGAGGUGUGUGUAAGGGGAAUGGAGGGUAAGUGCGAGAAAGGACUCCUGCCUGGCAAGGAGACAGGGGAAGCGGGUAGGGGCGAAUGUUCUAAAGGGUUGGGCGAGCCACCAGAGACUCUUUCCGCCACCUCCAAUCAAGGGGACCUUAAAGGAGGGGAAGAGGUAGAUAUCAGGUGAGGGUGCCCUUGGCACAUCCGCUGCCUUUGCUUCCUUAGAUAUUUCAGGUACCUGAGUCAAACCUAUGCUGGCGUUUUCAAAAAC